AGGCUGAUAGAUCCUGGACAUGUGC
rnacentral:piRNA from 1 species